ACAGCUCAGUUGGUAGAACAUGAGACUCUUAAUCUCAGGGCUGUGGGUUUGAGCCCCAUGUUGGGUG